rnacentral:rRNA from 1 species
UACGACUACAUAUCAGGCAUAUCAAUAAGCGGAGGAAAAGAAACUAACUAGGAUUCCCUCAGUAACGGCGAGUGAAGCGGGAAGAGCUCAAAUUUGAAAUCUUCAAGGUUUUACCUUGACGAAUUGUAGUUUAAAGAAGUGUUUUCUGUUGGAUGUUUUGGUAAAAGUUCUUUGGAAUAGGACAUCAUAGAGGGUGAGAAUCCCGUAUUUGACCAUUACUUUCCAGCUGUGUGAUACACUUUCAAAGAGUCGGAUUGUUUGGGAAUGCAGUCCAAAAUGGGUGGUAAAUUUCAUCUAAAGCUAAAUAUUGGCGAGAGACCGAUAGCGAACAAGUACCGUGAGGGAAAGAUGAAAAGAACUUUGAAAAGAGAGUUAAACAGUACGUGAAAUUGUCAAAAGGGAAGCGUUUGACACCAGUGUUGUUUUCUCGAAAAUCAAUUAAAAAGAGUAUGGGAUUUUGUAUUGUUAAGACCUUAUCAGCUUACGGUACUUUUUUCUUAUUCUUUUUAAUGCACAUUUUCGUUUAACAAGUCAACAUCAAUUUCUUUUGUUGUAAAAGAGUCAUUGGAAGGUGGCUUUCACUUCGGUGAAAGUGUUUAUAGCCUUUGGCUUCUGCAAUCGGAGAGAUUGAGGUCUGCAGCGCAGAUCCUUCGGGGUUAGAUACGUAGAUGCUAAGUUAUAGUUUUUCAUAGACAACUUGUUGACUAUGAUUAAUCAUGUAGCUUACUCGUUUGCGCUAUUUUACCUACGCUUAGGAUGUUGAAUCUGUGCGAGACUAC